UACGGAGGAUCCGAGCGUUAUCCGGAUCUAUUGGGUUUAAAGGGUGCGUAGGCGGUUUGAUAAGUUAGAGGUGAAAUGUCGGGGCUCAACCCCGAAACUGCCUCUAAUACUGUUGGACUAGAGAAUAGUUGCGGUAGGCGGAAUGUAUGGCGUAGCGGUGAAAUGCUUAGAGAUCAUACAGAACACCGAUUGCGAAGGCAGCUUACCAAACUAUAUCUGACGUUGAGGCACGAAAGCGUGGGUAGCAAACAGG
rnacentral:rRNA from 1 species